rnacentral:rRNA from 1 species
UCGGAGCGAAAUGAAGUAGUGAAGCUGCGGCCCCUUCCUGUCGAGAAAAGCCGCUAUCGUGUAGCAAGGGCCCGUACCGUAAACCGACACAGGUGGAUGAGGAGAGGAUCCUAAGGCCGGCGGGAGAAGUGUUGUUAAGGAACUCGGCAAAAUGACUCCGUAACUUCGGGAGAAGGAGUGCUGCGCAAGCAGCCGCAGAGAAAUGGCCCAAGCAACUGUUUAGCAAAAACACAGGUCUAUGCGAAACCGGAAGGUGAGGUAUAUGGGCUGACGCCUGCCCGGUGCUGGAAGGUUAAGGGGAGAGCUUAGCAUAAGCGAAGGUUUGAACUUAAGCCCCAGUAAACGGCGGCCGUAACAAUAACGGUCCUAAGGUAGCGAAAUUCCUUGUCGGGUAAGUUCCGACCCGCACGAAAGGCGUAAUGAUUUGGGCACUGUCUCAACAACACACCCGGUGAAAUUGAAAUACCAGUGAAGAUGCUGGUUACCCGCGCCAGGACGGAAAGACCCCAUGGAGCUUUACUCCAGCCUGAUACUGGGAUUCGGUAUUGCAUGUACAGGAUAGGUGGGAGGCUAAGAACUUAUGGCGCCAGCCGUAAGGGAGCCGAUGUUGGGAUACCACCCCUGCAGUACUGGGUUUCUAACCUGCGCCCGUGACCCGGGCGGGGGACAAUGUCAGGCGGGGAGUUUGACUGGGGCGGUCGCCUCCGAAAGGGUAUCGGAGGCGCUCAAAGGUCUCCUCAGGAUGGUUGGAAACCAUCCAGAGAGUGCAAAGGCAGAAGGAGGCUUGACUGCGACACCGACGGGUGGAGCAGGUACGAAAGUAGGACUUAGUGAUCCGGUGGCAUAAAGUGGGAUUGCCAUCGCUCAACGGAUAAAAGCUACCCUGGGAUAACAGGCUUAUCACUCCCAAGAGUUCACAUCGACGGAGUGGUUUGGCACCUCGAUGUCGGCUCAUCGCAUCCUGGAGCUGGAGCAGGUCCCAAGGGUUGGGCUGUUCGCCCAUUAAAGCGGUACGCGAGCUGGGUUCAGAACGUCGUGAGACAGUUCGGUCCCUAUCCGGCGCGGGCGCAGGAUAUCUGAGAGGAGCUGUCCUCAGUACGAGAGGACCGGGAUGGACCGUCCGCUGGUGGACCGGUUGUCAUGCCAAUGGCACGGCCGGGUAGCCAAGACGGGAAGGGAUAAACGCUGAAGGCAUCUAAGCGUGAAGCCCCCCUCAAGAUGAGAUAUCCAUACUCGAAAGAGUGAGAGACCCCUUAGAGACGAUGAGGUAGAUAGGGCAGAGAUGGAAGCACAGCGAUGUGUGGAGUUGACUGUUACUAAUCGGUCGAAAGCUCG